UCUGCCUUCCAGAUCAGUCUGAGUCAGCUGAUACCUCUCCAGUGAAUUUCUGGUCUGAGGUUUAUAAGCAAAUGUUAUAGUUUGUAAGUAAGUACUCUCGGUCAUUCAAUGGAAGCCUUCUGGAACCUCAUGAGAGAAGAUCAUUUCACAAAGGGAUUUGUCUUUAUAAGACCUUUCUUAAUGCUCUCAUCGUGUCAUCCGAUCGAAACUGCAGUGAAGGAGCUACGUGGGGGUCAGCCUCUGUAUGGGAAUUUUUCUGUUCGCUACUGUCAAGGUUUUUGUUUUUGUAUUUUUCCUCAGAAAAGAAAAACAGAAGUCGUCCUGAGAACAUUGUUGCUCAUGUGGAAUGCUUAUUGUGGCUUGGACCGUGUACAAAAUAACCUUGCUUCAAAUCCUUCUGGCUUGAUUCAUUAAUUUUUUCCAAACUCAUAAAAUAUAAGAUGCAGCAUUUGAAGAUCAAUAUGGGUUUCUCUGGCCUCUGAAAGGAUCUUAGAGGAAGAAAUAAGUCAAGGAGAGAUAAGCCUCUCCAUUCAAAUGGGGUGUCUCAGGGAAUAGGAAUGACUGAGGAGGGAGCCUGAUAAAAGAUCUGAGCUCUGGACGCAAGGCCGGUCAGCCUGUCACCCAAGAGCCUCCUCUACUGCUUCAGACUUCCCACAAGCAGGUGAGACGCAGGUCUGUGGGACACUGAGGAUCGACUGUAACUUAAAACGCAAGCGUGGCAGCCAUAGUCCCUACUUUGGACCGGGACUUCAUGCCUCCAGAUCACCUGCAUCCACAGUUUAUCUGCUGAAACUGCUUUUGGAUAAACAAAAACAAGAACAGAACAAACACCCUUCCCCAAUCUUUUCCAUUUCAGCUGCCAGCUGGAGUCCAAGUUGUGGAAACCACACUUCAGUCUUGGUCCUACGCCAUUGAGUCCCCAACUAUGACCCCAGCCAAGGGUGCAGGGACAAGCUCCCUUACCCAGGAGUGCUGUAGGACCUUCCUGAGAUACUCAUAGUCUUGGAAGAACUGUCACCAAAUCACAGUAACACUCCUUUAUGUCCUUUCAGUCCCGUUACCAUAUUGACUUGCUUUUGUCUGCCAAAAGAACUUAAGUGUUCUUCAAAGGGAAAGCAGGUAUUCCAAGAAUCCCUGGUUUCUGUCUGGCUUCUGCCUAUUGUCUGAAGAAAGCAAAGUUUGCCAGUCUUGGUUUUCCAGUUGAAUUCUCUUGAUAAAGCUCUUGAUCUGCUCCAGAAACUUGCCAGGUGCAGCCUCCCGCUGUCUCCCCGGGCUCAGCACACAAUGCCAACCCCACUGCUGCCCACACUGGGACAGAAGCAAGUUUACAAACACCAACCUGGGGCGUUUCCCUGGCUCAAUAGUCUUAUAAAGUUAAAGUUUUUCUAUAUAAGGGCUUGCAAUUUUCUUAAAGAUUACAUUAUAUAAAAGACAGAAAAUAGAAAAAAAAGAGAACAAAGUUAUUGUAGUCUAGCAUGGUCAAUGUAUAUAAAAGUGUAACUUGAUUUAAUAUAAUUAUUUUAUGUAUGUUAUACAUUUUUUGGCUUGUUAUUCUGGCUGUUAAUCUGUAUUUAUGAUAAUUAACUUGAUAAAGACUUAUAAAAUAAAUCUGAUGCUGGGAUUUUUUUAAAAGAGGGAGGUGGAGGGAAUGGGAGGAAAAGAAUUGAGAUGUGCUAUGUACAAGUAUCAAUUUCCCACAAUGAAUGUAAUCAGGAUGUA
ensembl:lncRNA